rnacentral:rRNA from 1 species
ACGNUCGACACCUACGGGGAGGCAGCAGUGGGGAAUAUUGCACAAUGGGGGAAACCCUGAUGCAGCGACGCCGCGUGAGCGAAGAUNUUCGGUAUAGUAAACGCUUCUAGACAGCAGGGAACAAACUGGACGGUACCGACUAAGAAGCGACCGGCUAAAUACGUGCCAGUAGCCGCGGUAAGUCGUGAGGCGGGACGUGGCAAGGC